AUCCAUGAACUUUGCCAUACACCUUACACUAUGAUACUUCCACACAUCAUUCCUUUUUCUUAGUUUAAAGUUAAUAGUUUUGUUUACAAUAAAUAUUUUUUUUAAAUUGGCCUAUACCUGUUGUUCGCGUCCCCUCAUUUUUGCCACAGGCUAUGAGCCGGCCUGUGACAAGUGGUAUGAUGAAAAUGGCUCUCAUGAGAACUGCCACAGGAAAGGAAGACCCAGAGGUACUUCUGCUGCAGAGGAACUACAAUUAAUUUGGGAUUGACACAAGUAGUAUUCCACCAAAUGUGGCGUACAGCAGGUCAGCCACCAGGGGGAGAAUCAUCGAGGCCUGGUGACAGGAGUCGACAUCACGAGGCGAUGGCUCCCUCUGCUGGAUGUGCCAGGUCUCGACGGGCUCUCCUGCCAGGACUAAUUGGGGCUGAUUGUGCUUGGUGAGUAAUCAAGGGGCUGAUUGCUCACCAGCUAGAUGAGUCCCAUAAAGCUGCCAGGAGGGCAGCACACGGGAGAGGGGACUGGAGAAAGAGAGGUUACACCUGUAUAGUUGUGCACAGUCCCAGGGAUAACGGAGGGAGCUCAGUUUGGUUCCCCCAGGAUACAGCAAGACCCCGGAGCCCAGAAGACGGUAUCCCGGAGGAGGUCUCCUGGAGGAGAUUCUUUUAUUUUUCUUUGUUGUUUAAAUAAACACCCUUGAAAUUGA